rnacentral:lncRNA from 1 species
UCGCUCCUCGCCUUCCUCACGCAGCGUUGCACCACCACCGCCCGCAGUAGCAAUCGGAGUAAAGCAUUGCAGCCGGCUGCCAACCUGCUCGAUUCCACCUCCUCCCUUGACCGCUGGACGUCGCUGACACCACCACAAGCUUACCCUCAUCAAGAUGAAGCUCUGCCGCCCAGUCUUGAAGCCCCUCUGAUGCUUUAGCCCCGGCUUCCGCGCGAAGACCUGAGCCACCAACGCCAACUGCACCACGCGCCUUCAAAUUCCGGCCGCCUCGGUCUCUCCCUGCCGCCGGUGAGCCCGCCUCUAGACCUCCUCUUCCACUUGAGCAGAUGCACUGAGGCCCGAGCUCCCCGUAACAUUGUUGAUUUCAUCUUCUAGAGCACCACUGGCCAUCACCGACUCACCACGCCUGGAGAACCACUGGAGGAAGGGGACGUCGCCAGGAAGUCACAGCCGAGCCGUUCGUCCGCUAGUCGCUUCCCGUCCCCGACAUGCUCCGAAGCGAUGCCGUUUUGAAGAAAAUUGAGCCUGUCGUCGCCUCCUCCAUCCGCCUACAAUUCAGGCCAAAAUCGUGGACCUUCACCGCUGGUGAGAACACACAAAAACCCUUCUCGGCCUCCUCUCCCAAUUGCGUCACCCGCCUGAGCCCCUAGGUCGCCAGACCGCUGGCGAUUUCACCGCCGAGAGCCGUCCAUCGGCCAUCGGAGCCAGCUCUAUGAGCUUUUGCUUCAAGGUCCCUAAAGAACCUUGUAUUGUUUGGCUUAUUUCUUAUGUCUUUCCAAUAUACAGAAAGGCUCCUGGAUAGUUUAGGUUUAUGCAACCCAGUCCAACCUAAGCACUUUAACAGAUCUAACCCUAUACGUUGACCUAAUAGCGAGCACUAUUCCAUGUGUCUUGCUAAUCUUCCUUGCUAGCCCUCCAGAUCUACAGUUAAUCACAUCUAGAUCCCUCAAACCUUGUUUAACCUAUCCCUCCUACGUUUCAGCUAACAUAAGCUACACGUUGGUAGCGAUGUUGUCCAUCAUGCAUGUUUUAAAAAAUAAAUUUAAUAUUAAUUUGAUUAAUACCUAUUAAACAUGUCUUCUAUAAUUAAAAUCUACUUAGUUUUAUACACCGCUUUUUCAUAAUAAAUGUUAAUUUGGUUAAUGCUUACCUUCAUAUGAUUUUCUAAAUAAAAGCUAAUUAGGUUGUAUAUCGGUUUUUAUAAACUGAUAUUAAUUUUCUUAAUGUUCAAUAUUGAAUCAAAUUCUCUAAUUAAAAGUUGAUUAGGCUUUUAUACACGCUUUUACAAAUAAAUAUUAACUUGAUUAAUACCAAUGUGAAUAUGCUUUCAGUAACAAUUUGAUCCCCUUGAAUCAUAUACGUUUAGAUGUUUCACAUAGUUUAGCCUUUCUAAAGUUAAAUGCUUAAAUGGUAUAAUUUAUACUUCAAUAUUUAUAAUUAAAAUACGGUUAAGCUAUAACUUAGUUUUUCUUAAUUAUUGAUAAAAUGACUAAUGUCAAUAUGAAUAUGUUUUCUAACUAAAGUUUGUUUAGCACAAUACGACAUAUGUAUUAAUUCGAUUAACUAUUUUCACCUUUCUAAAGUUAAGUGUGUAAUUGGUAUAAUUUAUAUAUGAAUAUUUAUGAAUAAAACUUGAUUAGGAUUUACCUCAGUUUUUGCGAGUAAAGUACAAUUUGCAUUAAUUCCAAUUAAGGUAUUUUCUUUCUAAAAUAUAUGUUACAUAAGUUUUGCUAAUUAAAAUAAACCUAGCAUAUAGUCUUUUGUGCUCUCGUAAACGCAAAUCUUUUCGAUAGCCGUCCUUUGUCAGGUUUAGCUCAGUAUCUCUUUUGUAGAUCUAGUCUUCUAUAAAGCUUUAGAUCUUUCCGGUCCCAGUUCAAGCUCAGACCCUGUUCUUUCAUAAAUCGAACCAAGCCUUUCCUUUUCAAGCAUGGUUUGUGUGCUUCAAUGAGCCAAAUAGUUUAUCUUAGAGUUUCUGUUUUGCCUAGUAGACCUAUGUUUAUGUGAGUAGUUUUGUGCUGCUCAUUUCCCUAUUUAGUUGUCUUAUCAUGCUUGUUUCAUGUUCCUCUUAGAAUCCUAUUUGUCAGAUCCAGUUCAUGGUUGUCCUGUCCUAGUUGUCUCUUUUGUGAGUUAGCUAUGUCCUUUUAGUUCUUUGUGGUCAAAUCUUUUGCAGCCAUCUCUUUAGAGCCAAUUUUGUUAGUUUGUUUCUCCACUAACUAGUUUAGUUUUGCUUUAACUAGUUUGUUGUCCCUGUAGCCUACUUGUUCUCUUUGUAGACUAAUUUUCCUCAAACCGUAGUUUAAGCUUUUCUUUUGUGCUUAUUCGAUUAGAUGUCUUAUACAUUCUCUGUGUUUCUAAAGAUAAUUGUUAAAUUGGUAUAACUUGUACUUGAAAUUUAUAAAUAAAAUAUGAUUAACUUUAUCACAUUUUCAAUAUUCAAAUAUACUUUUUGUUAAUUACAAAUAGGGUAUUUCUCUGGAAUAACCUAUGUGCAAUUUUUAUUUAAUUAAAAUGGAUCAAGCAUAUAGUUUUUUAUUUUUAUUUUUAUAAUUCAAGCCUCUCGAUAGCUUUGUCUUUUCAACCAUAGUUCUAUCUUCAACAUUUCUUUUGUCGUUUGCGUGGCCAUAGAAUCAAGCCCUAUCCUUUAGUGUGCUCUUUUAAAGCUUUUCUUUUGAUUGGUGUUUUUGUUCUUAGUUGUGUUUGUUUGUUUGCUUGUUUAUGUAUGCUUGUGCCGAUGUUUGCUACGAGUAGAAGGAAUGCCA